UACGGAGGGUGCGAGCGUUGUCCGGAAUCACUGGGCGUAAAGGGCGCGUAGGCGGCGCGAGCAGUCGAUCGUGAAAGCCCGGAGCUCAACUCCGGAUCGGCGGUCGAUACUCUCGUGCUUGAGCACUGUAGAGGCAGAUGGAAUUCCGGGUGUAGCGGUGGAAUGCGUAGAGAUCCGGAAGAACACCGGUGGCGAAGGCGGUCUGCUGGGCAGUUGCUGACGCUGAGGCGCGACAGCGUGGGGAGCAAACAGG
rnacentral:rRNA from 1 species